CUUGACGACCAUAGCAAGGUGGAACCACUCCUUUUCCAUUCCGAACAGGACAGUGAAACGCUUUCGCGCCGAUGAUAGUGGGCUGCGCGCCUGUGAAAGUAGGUCAUCGUCAAGC
rfam:Paenalcaligenes hominis strain 15S00501, complete genome.